rnacentral:rRNA from 1 species
GUGCCAGCAGCCGCGGUAAUACGUAGGGGCGCAGGCGUUGUCCGGAAUUAUUGGGCGUAAAGAGCUUGUAGGUGGCUUGUCGCGUCUGCCGUGAAAACCCGAGGCUCAACCUCGGGCGUGCGGUGGGUACGGGCAGGCUAGAGUUGUGGUAGGGGAGACUGGGAACUCCUGGUGUAGCGGUGAAAUGCGCAGAUAUCAGGAAGAACACCGAUGUCGAAGGCAGGUCUCUGGGCCAUUACUGACACUGAGAAGCGAAAGCAUGGGUAGCGAACAGGAUUAGAUACCCUGGUAGUCC